UAUGACGAUUAAAACCCUCAUAUGUCAACUCGGCCCAUUCAUCAUCAUCUGCCAGCCGGGUACGCAGACAGAGGUAGCAAACAGUCGCCAGACACUUGGCUGAUGAGCUCAAAUCUCAUCAAGAAGUGUCUGGCUGGCGGUUCGCAAGCAUAUAUCUCUGUCUUUCUUGAUUUUGGGGAACUUACAGCACCUACUUCAGCCUAGCUCUGCCUGGCGUGAUGACUUAAUUCACGACCCGACCUCCACUGGAAGAAACUUCGUAUGACUUUCAGUUCAGUUCCGCACUAGUAUCCUCUGCGUGGCGACCCUAUUUUCUCGCAGUGCUCCCGAGCACCUUUAACCCAACCGGAUCAGGUGCCUCUGCCGUUGGCUGCGAUGGAGCCGAAGCUGAAGCCGAAGCCGGAGCCGGAGCCAGUCGACCACUUGAGCGUCACCGCAGUGACACACGCAAGUGCUUGGCCUGUCGCUGGAGCGCGAUCAUCCUCCCCGGAGAGGCCUGCGGAACCAAGGAACCCUCGUCAUGAUGCAGCGCUUUUCGGGAAUGAAGUUGCCAGCAGUCGGUGAAGUUGUGCCUGGUUAGGCGCUGCCGUUGACUACGAGUAUUUGCUCAUUUCAAACACUCCGAUGCGUUGAACGUGUUGCGCUGCCCUGAGUGAGUUGUUUUGGCCAGCCUAAUCCCAAUUAAAACCACAUUUUUCAUCGAUCCGAUGGGGAUUCAAGUGAAA